GAGAUACAAAAAUAAGUUGCGAAAAAUAAAAACAAAAAACAAAAAUCAAAGAGAGAACAUGAUAGAAAGAUCACACUAGAUAUUUAUCUUGGUUCAACCUAAACCAAUUGACCUACUACAAUCCCCAAUAUUUUGUCAUUGAGAUUUAAACUAAAACAAUCGUUUAGCUUUUUUUACAGGAUCGACUCAAACAACAUUACAAAAU
rnacentral:lncRNA from 1 species